rnacentral:rRNA from 1 species
CACUCGAGACUGCCCGGCCCCAAGCGUAUUUUUGAAAAGUACGUUUCGGGCCGGGAGGAAGGUGGGGAUGACGUCAAAUCAGCAUGGCCCUUUGACGCCCUGGGCGACACGCAUGCUACAAUGGCCGGCACAAUGGGUAGCCAAACCGCGAGGUGGAGCCAACCCCACAAAGCCGGUCUCAGUUCGGAUUGGAGUCUGCAACUCGACUCCAUGAAGUCGGAAUCGCUAGUAAUCGGGAAUCAGCCACGUCCCGGUGAAUACGUUCUCGGGUCUUGUACUCACCGCCCGUCACACCAAGAGAGUCGGUAAUACCCGAAGCGCCGUUUCGGCGGCACCACGGUAGGAUCGAUAAUAAGGGUGAAGUCGUAACAAGGCAUCCGUAGCGGAAGCUGUGGAUGGAUCACCUCCUUU